rnacentral:rRNA from 1 species
UACGGGAGGCAGCAGUGGGGAAUAUUGCACAAUGGGCGAAAGCCUGAUGCAGCUAUGCCGCGUGUAUGAAGAAGGCCUUAGGGUUGUAAAGUACUUUCAUCGGGGAGGAAAAAACAAAACUAAUAAUUUUAUUUCUUGACGUUACCCGAAAAAGAAGCACCGGCUAACUCCGUGCCAGCAGCCGCGGUAAUACGGAGGGUGCUAGCGUUAAUCAGAAUUACUGGGCGUAAAGAGCACGUAGGUGGUUUUUUUAAGUUCAGAUGUGAAAUCCCUGGGCUUAACCUAGGAACUGCAUUUUGAAACUGAAAUACUAGAGUAUCGUAGAGGGAGGUAGAAUUCUAGGUGUAGCGGUGAAAUGCGUAGAUAUCUGGAGGAAUACCUGUGGCGAAAGCGGCCUCCUAAACGAAUACUGACACUGAGGUGCGAAAGCGUGGGGAGCAAACAGGGAUUAGAUACC